AUGGUGUAGCUCAGCGGUAGAGCAGUUGGCUGUUAACCAACUGGUCGGUGGUUCGACUCCAUCACUCCCCACCA
rnacentral:tRNA from 1 species